AUCAGAGAGAGAGAGACACCAGGACAGCAAACAGGUGAGGACAGAGACAGAGGGAAAGAUGUUUACAGUUGGUGACCCUUGAGUUCAUUUUAUUCUUUAUGGGCUGAUUCUGAUUUUUUUAUUCACCUAUAUAUUUAUUUAUAUAAUUUAUGCAUAUAUAUUAAUAGUGUCAUCUUUAUUUCUUUCUCUCUCUUUCUCAUAAGAAGAGGAGAAUUGUUCACAGAGACAGGACAUCAAACAAGCAAACUACAGCACAGAAACAGAAUGUCGACAACGGCUGCGACCCAAGCCAAUGAAAGAUCUGUAUCUGAGGCCAGUCGGGACACAGUUUGCACCACAGGACUUUUAAUAGGUGCAGUGGGUCUGGAGGGCACACUGCAGAGGAAAAAGGAGCGUUAUAGACGUGAACUACAGGAACAAAUCGCAGAGAAACAGAGUCACAGGAGGAGGUGUGUGUUAGGGCUGUCAAAAUGGCGGAAAAACUAAAUUCAAAUUUUGUACUAAAAUAUUAUUAAUAUUCAAAUACUCAAAAAAGCACAAUUUCUGUUAGGGGGUAAAAAGCUUUUGGAUCUCUCCUGAGGCUUCAAGAGGGUGCAUCGAUCAAAAUAUUACUAAUG
ensembl:lncRNA